rfam:Aedes aegypti strain Liverpool supercont1.230 genomic scaffold, whole genome shotgun sequence.
GGCUCGGUAGCUUAGUUGGUAAAGCGUUCGUCUAGCAUACAAGAGUCCUAGGUUCAAAUCCCAGCCGAGCUC